GAAGACAUGUUCAGUUUGGAGCUGCCUGAUCAACAACAAAAUGGAUUUCUUAAUUCCAACCCUGUAACAGUUACAGUGGACAACACUCUGAGCCCGUCUCACACACUUGUUCAAAUUUUCUGCAAGGAUUACAAAGGUCUUAUGUAUGAUAUGAUGAGAACCUUGAAGGAUUAUAACAUCCAGAUUUCUUAUGGACGGUUUUUUGCAAGCCCAAAAAGGAACUGUGAAGUGGACUUGUUCAUAAUGCAAGCGGAUGGCAAGAAGAUAAUUGACCCCAAUAAACAAGAUGCAUUAUGCUCUCGUUUGAGAAUGGAGCUUCUGCACCCC
rnacentral:misc_RNA from 1 species